AGAGUUUGAUCCUGGCUCAGGAUGAACGCUGGCGGCGUGCCUAAUACAUGCAAGUCGAGCGAACGGACGAGAAGCUUGCUUCUCUGAUGUUAGCGGCGGACGGGUGAGUAACACGUGGAUAACCUACCUAUAAGACUGGGAUAACUUCGGGAAACCGGAGCUAAUACCGGAUAAUAUUUUGAACCGCAUGGUUCAAAAGUGAAAGACGGUCUUGCUGUCACUUAUAGAUGGAUCCGCGCUGCAUUAGCUAGUUGGUAAGGUAACGGCUUACCAAGGCAACGAUGCAUAGCCGACCUGAGAGGGUGAUCGGCCACACUGGAACUGAGACACGGUCCAGACUCCUACGGGAGGCAGCAGUAGGGAAUCUUCCGCAAUGGGCGAAAGCCUGACGGAGCAACGCCGCGUGAGUGAUGAAGGUCUUCGGAUCGUAAAACUCUGUUAUUAGGGAAGAACAUAUGUGUAAGUAACUGUGCACAUCUUGACGGUACCUAAUCAGAAAGCCACGGCUAACUACGUGCCAGCAGCCGCGGUAAUACGUAGGUGGCAAGCGUUAUCCGGAAUUAUUGGGCGUAAAGCGCGCGUAGGCGGUUUUUUAAGUCUGAUGUGAAAGCCCACGGCUCAACCGUGGAGGGUCAUUGGAAACUGGAAAACUUGAGUGCAGAAGAGGAAAGUGGAAUUCCAUGUGUAGCGGUGAAAUGCGCAGAGAUAUGGAGGAACACCAGUGGCGAAGGCGACUUUCUGGUCUGUAACUGACGCUGAUGUGCGAAAGCGUGGGGAUCAAACAGGAUUAGAUACCCUGGUAGUCCACGCCGUAAACGAUGAGUGCUAAGUGUUAGGGGGUUUCCGCCCCUUAGUGCUGCAGCUAACGCAUUAAGCACUCCGCCUGGGGAGUACGACCGCAAGGUUGAAACUCAAAGGAAUUGACGGGGACCCGCACAAGCGGUGGAGCAUGUGGUUUAAUUCGAAGCAACGCGAAGAACCUUACCAAAUCUUGACAUCCUUUGACAACUCUAGAGAUAGAGCCUUCCCCUUCGGGGGACAAAGUGACAGGUGGUGCAUGGUUGUCGUCAGCUCGUGUCGUGAGAUGUUGGGUUAAGUCCCGCAACGAGCGCAACCCUUAAGCUUAGUUGCCAUCAUUAAGUUGGGCACUCUAAGUUGACUGCCGGUGACAAACCGGAGGAAGGUGGGGAUGACGUCAAAUCAUCAUGCCCCUUAUGAUUUGGGCUACACACGUGCUACAAUGGACAAUACAAAGGGCAGCGAAACCGCGAGGUCAAGCAAAUCCCAUAAAGUUGUUCUCAGUUCGGAUUGUAGUCUGCAACUCGACUACAUGAAGCUGGAAUCGCUAGUAAU
rnacentral:rRNA from 7 species